CUUACCUUGACUUUGAGCAUCAAAAUUUUCUGUAGUUUCUGCAGGUGCUGAUGUGGAUGUGGAAAUUUCAUCAUUUUUUUUCAUGAGUGCCUAACACAUAAUGAAAACUGUAUAAAAUUUGUCUUUAAUUAAUUAUAACUGAUAAUAAUUACUUGUGCAAUAAUGGAUGCUACUUUUUCUUUAUCCACUGCUGUAUGAAUUCGCUUGUUUUUCAAAUGAUGUGGAGUAUCUCUACGAUGAAGUCUAUUUGGUCUAUUUGAAUCACCACUACCAUCAUAAUCUGUACCUUCAGCUAUAGAAAAUUCUACAUGUCUUUGUGUUUCUUCAUUUUCAGAUUCAUCAUCCUCCUUAUCAUUUCUAUCCUUUAACUCAGAUAUUGAACCUUCAGUUCUUACGUCCUAAAAAAUAAUUUUUAUGAUAAAAAACAAAGAUAAACAUAAAUAAAUAAAUUAAUUAAUAAAUAAAUAUACAAUCUAUUAUAAAUACA